rnacentral:lncRNA from 1 species
CGUAGUUACUUAUAAUAAGGAUCUCAUAAUACUGUUCCAUUACAAUAAUUAGAAUAAUUUAUGAUGGGUUUCACAUUCCUCUUAUAGUGUUUCCAUGCUAUAAAACGAACAUACCGAUAGAACGUUACACUUGCAGUAGCUAACCGUUUGGUCAUUCAGAAAUUACGUAUCAUUUAAAACGGAGCAAAUUGUCCCCGAAAUAUAGAAACAAAGCAACAAUAAUCGUAUCAUUUGUGCACG